AUGCUUGCUUCAGCAGCAUGUAUACUAAACCUGGAACAAUACAGAGAAGAUUAGCAUGGCCCCUGUGCAAGGAUGACAUGCAAAUUCAUGAAGUGUUCCAUAUUUUU